ACCAAACUGUCAGAAUACCUACUUGAAAAUUGGUAAUUUGGGGUCACAGGGCUUAGAGAUAAAACAAGUAAGACUUUAUCUCUGGACCCAAGUUUCUUCCCAACUGAUGCUACUGACUCCUCCUUAUCUCAGCAUCAGCUUCCAUGCAGCAGCUCUCCUCCCAGCUUUAUUCCAUCAGCUCAGCAGUUCUGAUGAUGACGCCUCUUUGACUCCACCUGUGGCGCAGCCUGCCUCCAGCCCUCUCCACUUAGCACUCCGUUCAUAUAGGACUCCUGUUGUCCUAAAGAUUUGGUCAGUCCUUCCAGCUCCCAUUAAUCUGGAUUCCUCCAGAGGGCACAGAUUCCUGCUGGCCAUAUUUCGGAUGUAAUUGGCUCCCCACUAAUCAGCUCUGUAAUCUGAGCUUUGCUGAACUACAAGAAGAGCCAAUUACCUUCUGGCAGCCAUCUUGGAUGAUGAAGUAGCAACCUUGCAGGACGCAAGCCAUGGUCCAGGAUGGCGAGGCAUAAAGAAGGAAGAUGCCUGCAUUCGUGGUGGCAGUGAGUUGCUGUACCAGCUUUGGAUUGCCUACCUUUGGAUCUUUUUUUAUAUCAAAAAUAUACCCCUCAUCUAUUUAAGCCACUCUGAUCAGGCAUUUGGGAGAGUCUGACAUCCAUUUCCUGAAAUACUGUGAAAUUUUCAUUAAUCAUCAAGUAGUUUAUUUUCCAGUUAGAUUUUUCAAAUACAGUUGUUCUGUGGCAACUCUGGAGCAGGUGCUUGAUGACGCAUGGAAAGGUUUUGUCCAAGUAAUACACAAGAGUGAACAGAUGUGGACGUUAACAGUUAAAAUGGAAGGAACAUCUGUAAAUGUAUUUUUUCUAGUUUUCCAAAUGUAAUUCAAUCCCCCCCCCCAAAAAGACUCUUAGUGGCCUCCAAACUUAUGUGAAGGAACUGGUAAAAGAUGAGCCAGACCAACAUCAGUAGCUGAACACAUCGGUUACCUAAACAGAAGAGGGAAGGCAAAGUGGCCCUAAGGAGUGAGGCAUAGGUGAUGUCUUUUCAGGGACACCAGGAAGAAUUUGGCUUCCUCUCAGACAUCUCAGGCUAGUGCCUAGGCUUCCUACCAAGAAUUUUUGUCAAUUUACUUAGAUCCUUGUUGGGAAGACACUAGAAGGAAAAAGGUCAAAUUGAUGAGGAUACACAGGGAGGAUAAGUUCAUUGCUAGAACCCACUCCAUGGGCUUGAGGAAUUUGGAAAGGACUGUAUUUCUAGUCAAAAAGCGGCUGCUCUGAAAUUCAUGGUUUCUAGCCUUACAUGUCCCUCUUGACAUCAUCAAAAUAUCAUUAACCAAAUCUCUUUCUUUUGUAGAUGCUCCCCACUCCCACCUCUCUGUUGCUAGGAAUGUUUACAGAAUCAAGUUCAUUAGUUUAAUUUAUAUUUAAAGCAUCUUUACCACUUACUCUAGUGGGAUGUCUUAUGCCUAAGAGGUUGUUCUCUUGUCUUUUGGGACGUUGUUUGAGAAAAUAAGAGGCUUUAUCUCCAUAGUCCUUCUAUCUAUCAAGAUUUCUUUGAGGAGGGUCCAGUUGUAUAUUACAGUAUAGCAUUUUUACAGGUUGGUCACAGAAUAGCACAGACCCAUUCUUCUGCAAAUUUUACCCUAUUUUUCCUAUUGUUAAGUUAUGUCAAUAUUCUUGUAUAAAGGCAGCAUAAAACACCAUUUAGAGCUUGUAAAAUUCUAUUGAAUGUCUUUGAUUAUUGUUUAGAACAAAUAUCAUUGGGAGAGUCACGGACUUUAUCAGUGAUACAAAUUUUAGUGUAAUACCUGAAACAGGGGCUUGAUAGAAAACUUAGAAGAAAAAGUGUGAGCACACUUGGCGCCUAGAAAUAUGAGGCCAAAUGUUACCAUGCAGGGGAGGAAGGGUUGGGAGGAGAGAAGGAGGUGAGUGGGAUCACAGAGGCUGACAGAGGUGUGAUAAGGGUGCAGGCACAGUGGCACUCUGCUGUUUUAUGUCACCUUGUUUUGAAAUUCACGUGAAAUGUAAAGUUAGUUUGAAUGAUCCA
ensembl:lncRNA